rnacentral:rRNA from 1 species
GAGUGCGCAGUCUUCUGUAGCCAUACAGGGAUCGGGCGCACGGCGCACGGGUGCGUAACACGUGGGUAACNUGCCCUCCAAAGGGGGAUACCCCGCCGAAAGGCGGGCUAAUACCGCAUGACAUUCCGGUGGCUUCGGCCGCCGGAAUCAAAGCCCGCAAGGGCGUUGGAGGAGGGGCCCGCGGCCGAUUAGCUUGUUGGCGAGGUAACGGCUCACCAAGGCUUUGAUCGGUAGCCGGUCUGAGAGGAUGGCCGGCCACACUGGAACUGAGACACGGUCCAGACUCCUACGGGAGGCAGCAGUGGGGAAUCUUGCGCAAUGGGCGAAAGCCUGACGCAGCGACGCCGCGUGGGGGAUGAAGCUUCUCGGAGUGUAAACCCCUUUCGACCGGGACGAAACGCCCGCAAGGGUUUGACGGUACCGGUAUAAGAAGCCCCGGCUAACUACGUG